rnacentral:lncRNA from 1 species
UUUAUUUUAAAUUUUAUCUUUUUGUGCCUAUAUAAAGGCUCCUAGCAUUCAACCUGAAGAAUCAUAUUCUACCUCUCACUCUCAUUUCCUCUCUUGCUGCCCCUCACCUUCUUCUCCAUCUUCUUUUCUUUUUCUUAUUCUUUUACUUAGUUGUUAUAAUUUUAUUAUGGUCAUGAGUGGCUAAACAAUUUAUUUUCAGUUGAAGGUUAAAUUAAAUUGAGGUUUGUUCAAGU